rnacentral:piRNA from 1 species
UACUGGGAUUAAUUUUGAGAAAU